CUUGUUAUUAAAAUUCAUAUAAUUAAAUGCAGUCAGAUAUCUUUGUAAGGGUGAAGGGAUCCCUGAAGGGAAAAAGAGUUUUUUAGGGGAGGUUCUCUGUAACCUCAAUACCCAAAUCUUGAGGUACCUGACCUUUCCCCCCUUUUGCCCCUGGUAUAAUAUCUGUUUUCAGAGUAUUUUUCUUACAAUAAUGUUAUUAUGGUAAAUUGUUCUCAUUCGGCUCAUCUUACUCUUCAUCAGUUUGUACAAAUCAUCCCAGGUUUCUUUGAAACUAUCCUCCAACUGAUGAAUGCCCUGUAAGUUUCCAAUUCUUUGCCACCACAAAAAGUUGCUACAUAUACUAUUUUUCUUUUCUUUUUUAAAAAUGCUGUGUCUGACACAAAACAGAUACUUUAUAACUAUCUUUUCCCUUCUCCUUUUCUCUACAACUUCUCUAGAAUUUGUCACUUUCCAUCAACUUUGCCAAUCUUAAGGGUAUGAAGUGAUAUCUCAGAAUUGUCUUAAUUUUCAUUCCUCUACUUAUUAGUGACAGAGCAUUUUCUUCAUGUGGCUACUAAUAGUUUGGAUUUCUUCCUUUGAAAACUACCUAUUCAUAUCCUUUCACCAUUUGUUAGCUGGGGCAUGGUGGACAGAGUUCCUAAAUUGAUCUCUUUUCUAGUCAAUCCUAUACACUCUGGGAACAUAAUCUUUCCAAGAUACAGAGCCAACCAUGCCACUCACUCCCUUGCUCAAACUCUUUUGAAGUUUCAAAUGCUUUAGACUACCAUUUGGAGACUCUAACUUGACUCCCUUCUACCUUUACUGUUCUAUACCUCCAACUCAGGUCACACUUUCUACAACAAACCUCUGCUAGACCUUUUUAAUCUUAGUGCCUCCCACAUGAAAAAUAUAUAAAUCUCAUUUGUGAAUCCUUGUUUGCAUGCUGACUCCCCAUUAAACUGUGAGCUCUUUGAGAGCAGAGACUCUUUUGCCUUUAUUUAAACACAUAUUAAGUGCUUAAAAAAUUCUUCCUCCCUCUCUCUCUUUCCCUCUUCCUUCUUUCUCUCAGCUUUUCUUCCUUUCUCUCUCUUUCUUUCUUUCUUUCUUUCUCUCUUUCUCUCUCUCUCUCUUUCUUUCUUUCUUUCUUUCUUUCUUUCUUUCUUUCUUUCUUUCUUUCUUUCUUUCUUUCUUUCUUUCUUUCUUUCUUUCUUUCUUUCUUUCUUUCUUUCUUUCUUUCUUUCUUUCUUUCUUUCUUUCUUUCUUUCUUUCUUUCUUUCUCUUUCCUGCUUUUCUCUCUGUCUCUCUGCCUCUCUCCUUUCCCUGUUCCUUCUCUCACUCUUUCUAUUGAAAAGAAGAUAUAUCACCUAUAUGAAUUUGUACUAUGUUAAAGCUAGGCAGUCUUAGGUAACAACUACUCCAAAUUCCCAUUUAACGGAUGACCUAGAGGAACACAGGGACUCAAAUUCAUGAGGUAGCCUUAUAUCUCAGGCACCUGACAGAUAUGUUGCUCUAGCAAUCAUCUACUUGUCAUUCCUUUGGGAUUCCAGAAGAAACUCCCUUUAGGAAAAAGUUUCCCCUACUAGUCAAAAAGGUGAUACAAUACUUAGGCCCAAACCCACUUCAGUCACGGAGGCCCUGACCAUUAUAUUAUCCUCAGAAAACUCAAUAUACUCAGAAGGACUAAGCUCAUGAAUUUGACAAGCCCGUACUUGGUCAAUGGCACCCUGGCUUCCUUUGCCUUCUUGAAGGCCUGUUAAUCUUUAUUUUUUCCAUUUAAUAUCUAUUGAUUCAUUGUUUUUUGCAUUACCCUCAUUUCUGAAUAUGACUUUCCCGUCCUCUCUACUCCAGUGAGUAAGCUUUCAUUAAAAAAAAAAAAGGGAGAGGAAAAACAGGUUAAUAAAGCUAACCCAAGCUC
rnacentral:lncRNA from 1 species